rnacentral:sRNA from 2 species
CGCCCGUCACACCAUGGGAGCCGGUAAUGCCCAAAGUCGGUUUAGCUAACUUCGGAAGCGACUGCCUAAGGCAGGAUUGGUGACUGGGGUGAAGUCGUAACAAGGUAUCCCUACGAGAACGUGGGGAUGGAUCACCUCCUUUCUACGGAGUACAAUUACACUUUAUUUUUGGUAAAAAUCUUAUAAGUACUAGUUUUAAAUUAAUUAAAUUUUUAAAACAUCACGAUGUCUUAUGAGUCUUGUGUGUUGGUGUAGCCAAAAGCACUCUAAUAUUCAGUUUUGAGAGUAUUUACUCUCUAAAUUAAUAGAUCUUUGAAAACUGAAUAGCAUAUAAAUUAAUAUGAUAACGACAUCAAAAUAUAUUUUGUGAAAAUAAUUUUGAUCCGAGUUAAGACCAAUUAUUGGUCUUUAUAAAUACCUUAAGAAUACAUCAAAAAACAUUUUUUUUAAUAGGAAAAAAUAGUUACUUAAACUUUUAAAUAAGCAAGAGUUUGUAGUGGAUGCCUUGGGUCUGGAAGUCGAUGAAGGACGUGAUUACCUGCGAUAAGCUUCGGUUAGUUGGAAAUAAACUAUGAGCCGGAGAUCUCCGAAUGAGGAAACUCGAUACAAGUAAUGUUGUAUCACUCCCCUUUGAAUAUAUAGAAGGGAAAGAGACAUACGUUGUGAACUGAAACAUCUUAUUAGCAACAGGAAAAGAAAAUAAAUAAUGAUUCCGUCAGUAGUGGCGAGCGAACGCGGAAGAGCCCAAACCACAUUUUGUGGGGUUGUAGGACUGCUCACAUAGAGUUACAAAAUAUUUAUAUAGAAGAAUAAACUGGAAAGUUUGGCCAAAGAGGGUGAUAGCCCCGUAUUCGAAAUAUAAAUAUCUCUUAGCAGGAUCCUGAGUAGGGCGGGGCACGUGAGACCCUGUCUGAAUCCGCCGGGACCACCCGGUAAGGCUAAAUACUAACCAGACACCGAUAGUGAACUA